UUAUUUUUUAACACUCUAAAUAUUUUCUAAAAUAAAGAAAAAAAUUCCAGAAAAUAGAUAAAAGAAAAAAAAAUCAUUUGAAAGACUUGCUUUUUAAUUGUCUCCUCAAAAACCGAAUUUCAGGAAAUUGUAAUAAACCCAUCACAUUGCUCACGAAAUUCAUCGAAAAUCAUCUUGCUCCCGUUAACCUCUCAACUUCUACUAUCCCUGACCCAUUCUCUCUCCUCAAAUACUAGAAAUUGAUCUUGAAGCUGCAUUAUCUACUCAAAAUUUAUCUUUGAAAAUCAAAAUUAUGAAGAAAUUAGUCCUCGAAAAUCAAGGUUUUUGUAUCUGAUUAAAAGGUAGUGUUCUUCACUCAAAUUCGAUUAUUUGAGUUACAUUUUGUAUCUUCAUCACUCAAAUUCUAUUAUUUGUAUCUUUUUCACUCAAAUUCGAUUAUUUGAUUCUUUGUUCUCAGCUUGUACAAGAUCGGUUUAGCAACAUUUUUCGACUUCAAAAAAGUCACUAUUUGAGAGCUGACUUUUUUUUGGCAUUGAUUAUGUGUUGGAUUGGAAAUUGUGAUUGAAUGUUGAAGAGUGACCACAAAUUAGAGAAAAAUAUGUAUACAGUUUGUUGCUUGUAGACCGGUUUAGAAUGCCUCAAAAGCCUCAAAUGUAGGUUAUGACGUUUUUUAUUACACAUAUAGAUUGUGUUGUGUUGUGGUGUUAUUGAUUUAGAUUGUGUGAAUGUAAAUUGAUAAGAAAAGUAAUUUAGGAACGUAAAAAUUACCAGCAGGUUAUAAGCCUUUGGUCUUUUGGUUUUUCCAGACUAUCUUAAGUUAGGAAAGAUCAUCAACAAGGUAUCAAGAAGCAAGCUAUUGUCUAUUUGAGAGUUUAGAUAUUGGAAAUCUGGAUUGAAAAAUCUUCAAUUUUCUUAAAAUAAGAAUCAAAGAAUUAUCUAGUCCACAUAUUCACACUGUAGUUACGAUUCAGCUAUCUCUCCUUUUGACACCAUGUUCUACAAUUGUUGGAUAACAUUGCCAACCUAUAAUCUUCAUCUAUAAUUCUAUGCCUAAUUGGUUUUUUUUAGGAUAAACAACAAUUUGUGUGCUCUCUACUUCUAUAGUGAAGAUUCAAGGGCAUUUGACCUAAUGUUUUCACUCAUAAUUCAUCCAAUUAAGGGUUGGUUAUACAGGGAUUUAUAGGUGACAACAUUAGGUUUGACACCCUUUUGUUCCUGCAAUAGGUGAUAAGAUCAGCAGAGGAUUUCCGCAGUAUUUGGUUCAACGUUGUUGGGUAUGAACAAUUGUACUACAAUUCUUCCUUACUGUAUUUUCACUAGUUGUGCUUUCCUCAAUUCCUUAAACUUUGUGAACCAAAUGGUGCAACCCAAUUUUAAAGCUUUUUCUUAAUGAUCCCAUGAACUGAUUUGGUAUAGCUUUCUUAUCUUCUUACGAUGUAUUUUAUUCCUUUUCUUUUCAUGGAGUAUGAUGUCACGUAUCAAUUUGGGCACAAAAAAGAAUAUAUGGAACUAAAUUUGGUCCAACAAUUUUUUCAUAAAGAAAAUGAGAUAGGUCAAAAUCUGAAAGAUUACAAAAUAAGUUGAUUGGCAAAAUAUUAGUUAAUAUUAAAUUAAAGUUUUUAAUGAAGAUCUCUGUUGUUUAAGAGCAAUUUUUUUAUCUUUUGAUUUUAUAGUGCCUCUUGUUAUUUCGUUCAUACUAAAGGUACAUUUCAUAUACUCUAUCUUACUCCGCUUUAAUUUGUACCGUCGGCACUCCAACUCUUGUCUUUGUGUUAGAGUAUAUAACAUAUCUUGGGGCCUCAACUAUCAGCUUAAGCUUUUGGUUGAGUUGGUUCCUUGACAUGGUAUCAGAAGCCAACGUGAGAGGCCACGGGUUCGAAUCUCAACCACCCCUCAUUUAAAGUGGAAUAUUCAGCGCCUAUGCGCAUCCACACUUCUACCCCAAUGGGGUCUCGUGUGAGGGGGCGUGUUAGAGUAUAUAACAUAUCUUGGGGCCUCAACCAUCAGCUUAAGCUUUUGGUUGAGUUGGUUCCUUGACACUUUGUCAUUUUAACUUUAACAUACGCCCUCUCCUUGGUCUCAUCUAUCAAAACAAUGUCAUCAACAAUACUUUAUUGAUUGAGUAUCUCAUUAAAAUAAAACAAUUAUCCUUAUCUCAGCUGUUUUAUUUAAACCUAUCUCAUCUAUAAACCAUUGACUUACGGUUGUCAUAUUGUCCUAGUUUGAUGGUUUCCAAAGAUGUCUCGUAUAUGGCAUCUAAACCCAAUUUUAUAAAAGGGAAUAUGCAAAGUUUUGUUCUAUUUCUGACAUAAACUUCUAAAUAUAUGAUAUAGAUCAAAACAAAGCAAAUUCAUUCAAAAUAGGACAAGAUUUUGAAAGAAAACUAUCUAGCAAGAACCGGUACACAAACAUUGAAGAAUAGGAAAUUCAAGCCAACGAAUCCUAAACGGUUUUUCAGGCCGCGCACUGAUAAAGAGGCGUUUUAAAAGAGGCAACUCUAGAGAGAAAAAUUACUUCUCUUUAAAAUUUAUCUCAUACAAGGGAAAAUUCACAGGGCACAGAAAAUGGAGUAAAUGAGAACAAAGAAAAGGGAAGCAAGAAAGAUGAGAGUAAAGGUAUCUAAAAGGAUCGACCAGCAUUUGCAAGGCCAAUAAAAAGCAGAUACAAGAACUUAAAAGAAGUAGAAUCGAAAUCAGAGAAGAGCUCCGGAAAUACCAAAUCUUCUAUCUUGCAGAAGAAAUUAAAAGUGUCUAAGAGGGAAGUUGUCUGGGGUAAAAUCUCGGGGACUUGAGGCAACGGAGAAAACUGAAGCAAUUUUAUCAAAACGAAAGGAACCCAGGAAACAAGGAAAAGAUGUUGAAUUAAGGAAUAAAGCUUCAGUAGCUUAGAAAUCAGCAGCACAGGGAAAAAUUGUAACUACCUCUAGUUCCAGAGACUAAAGAUGUUGGGAUACACCAUGUCAAUCUAUAAAUUUUUAUUUUUUUUAAUUUUUUUUGAAUAUAUGACAUUCUUAUCAAAUAUUAAAAGUUUGUAUAGUAAUCCUUAAUGUGAUUGUGAUGUGAAUCUUUAAUGUUAUAUUAAUAGAAAGGAAAAUAUUUU